rnacentral:rRNA from 1 species
GACGAACGCUGGCGGCGUGCUUAACACAUGCAAGUCGUACGGUAAGGCCCUUUCGGGGGUACACGCGUGGCGCACGGGCGUGUAACACGUGCAUACUCUGCCCCCCACUUUGGGAUAACGCUAGGAAAUUGGUUCUUAUCCUAGAAUUGUACUCCUGCUCCACGGUGGGGGUUGGAAAGUUCCGGGGGUUGUGGAUGGCAUCGCGGCCUAUCAGCUUGUUGGUGGGGUAGUGGCCUACCAAGGCGGCGUCGGGUAGCCGGCCUGAGAGGGGGACCGGCCACAGUGAGACUGAGAUACGGCCCAGACGCCUACGGGAAGCAGCAGUGAGGAAUAUUGCACAAUGGGCGCAAGCCUGAUGCAACGAAGCCGCGUGCGGGAUGACGGCCUUCGGGUUGUAAGCCGCGUUCAGCAGGGACGAGGCUUUUUGUGACGGUACCUGAAGAAGAAGCACCGGCUAACUACGUG